GACGAACGCUGGCGGCGUGCUUAACACAUGCAAGUCGAGCGGAAAGGCCCUUCGGGGUACUCGAGCGGCGAACGGGUGAGUAACACGUGAGUAACCUGCCCCAGACUUUGGGAUAACCCUCGGAAACGGGGGCUAAUACCGGAUACGACACAGCUUCGCAUGGGGUCUGUGUGGAAAGUUUUUCGGUUUGGGAUGGGCUCGCGGCCUAUCAGCUUGUUGGUGGGGUGAUGGCCUACCAAGGCGACGACGGGUAGCCGGCCUGAGAGGGCGACCGGCCACACUGGGACUGAGACACGGCCCAGACUCCUACGGGAGGCAGCAGUGGGGAAUAUUGCACAAUGGGCGGAAACCUGAUGCAGCGACGCCGCGUGAGGGAUGACGGCCUUCGGGUUGUAAACCUCUUUCAGCAGGGACGAAGCGUAAGUGACGGUACCUGCAGAAGAAGCGCCGGCCAACUACGUG
rnacentral:rRNA from 1 species